AUGUUCCUACGGGAGGCAGCAGUGAGGAAUAUUGGUCAAUGGGCGCGAGCCUGAACCAGCCAAGUAGCGUGAAGGAUGACUGCCCUACGGGUUGUAAACUUCUUUUAUAAAGGAAUAAAGUGAGGCACGUGUGCCUUUUUGUAUGUACUUUAUGAAUAAGGAUCGGCUAACUCCGUGCCAGCAGCCGCGGUAACACGGAGGAUCCGAGCGUUAUCCGGAUUUAUUGGGUUUAAAGGGAGUGUAGACGGGUUGUUAAGUCAGUUGUGAAAGUUUGCGGCUCAGCCGUAAAAUUGCAAUUGAUACUG
rnacentral:rRNA from 1 species